UACGGGGGGGGCAAGCGUUGUUCGGAAUUACUGGGCGUAAAGGGCUCGUAGGUGGCCAACUAAGUCAUACGUGAAAUCCCUCGGCUUAACCGGGGAACUGCGUGUGAUACUGGAUGGCUUGAGUUCGGGAGAGGGAUGCGGAAUUCCAGGUGUAGCGGUGAAAUGCGUAGAUAUCAAGAGGAACACCUGCGGCGAAGGCGGGUUGCUGGGCCGUCACUGACGCUGAGGCGCGAAAGCUAGGGGAGCGAACGGG
rnacentral:rRNA from 1 species